rnacentral:tRNA from 1 species
GCCGGGGUGGUGAAAUUGGUAAACACAACGGACUUAAAAUCCGUCGCCCUUUAAAGGCUUGCCGGUUCGAUUCCGGUCCCCGGCACCA